rnacentral:lncRNA from 1 species
AAGGCACCGCACCAGCCGCUCGCACCGGGCGGGGGAGGGGAGGCAGGGAUCGGGGUGGGGGCGCUGGCCUCCUCCCGAAACUCCCCCUUCGCUUCCCCGGAUCCCCCCACUAUCUCCCCGCUGAACCCCCUCCCCUCCCUCCUCGGCCGCUGCUUCCCCUCCAGCUCCCACACACCGCGGCUUCCCCUACACUCGCUGCCAUUGACGCCAUUUCUGUCAGAGGAGGAGAAACUUGCCACAACAACAACCCACCCCCAGCCUCCCCGGCUGCCGCGGGGGGGGGAGGCGUCCCCGGCUGCCUCCCCGGGGCGCUGCGCCCCCUCCCCAGGCACCCAGCAGGCGGGAGGGGACCCGCCAGGGUCCCAGCCCCGGGACCCCCCCUACACACACACAUACUUUUACUGCGGGGAGCCGGAGAGAGGGAAGGAGGAGAGAGGAAGGGAGGCUCUUCCUCCAUUGUACGAGGAAGAGUGCCUGUGUGCGCGGCGGGGGAGCGGGGUGUCGGUAGCAGCCCCCCCCGCCCCGACACACACACAUACACACACACGCUUUUGUAGGGGCUGCGGCUCCGGAUCGCGGCUCCUCCUCCCCCCCACCACCCCCCCUCAAAUAAAGGAAAGCGCUGACUCCGCGGCAGGAGUUUCAGCAGCAACAGCCGCAACUCCCCGGCUCGGCGCAGCGGGUCCGGGCGGGGGGAGGGCGGGCGGGAGGCGGCGGAGGGGAAGAAAAGGAAGAAGAAAAGAAGGGAGCGGGGACGGGGAGGGAGGGGGGCGGGGAGAAAGGGGCCCGACCUGCUCGGCGGGGACACCGAGCGUGUGGGGGGGGGGGGAGGAGGGGGCUGGAGAAGCGGCCGGUCCCUCCCGCAGGCAGGCGGCAGCCGAUCCCCCUCCCCCCCGCGCCGUCGCUGGGUGUUUGGGGCGGCGGGGGGGGGAGAAGGAGGAUCGCCGAGUCCCGCCGCAGUCUCGCUACGAGGAGAAAAACAACCGCCCCCCUCCCCCCCGCACGCACGCCCCGCCGCCGCCGCCCGGCCCCGCGCCCCCCCGAGGCCCCGCGCCGCCUUCUCACCCGCUGGCGGCGGGGCCGGGGGGCUCCUUCUCCGGCUCGGCGUCGUUACCUUUGUUCCGCGGCGCCCUCCCGCCCGCCCGCUACUCCCCCGACCCGAGGCGGGGGGGAGAGAAGGGAACGGGUCGAAGCCUUCCCUCAGCUCCGGGCCCUCUCGGCCGGCCUCGGCCCCCGCUCAACGCUCCGGCAACGGCUCUGCUCGCGGCGGCUCCGCGCGGCGCCCGGAGGGGCCGAUCCGUCCUGCGUGGACCCGGCGGUGGCGGCGGCGGUGACUGCUCGGCUCGGAGCCUCUCGGUCCCCCUCCCCCUCCCACACCGACUGCUUGACUGA